rnacentral:rRNA from 1 species
AGGCUUAACACAUGCAAGUCGAACGCUCCGCAAGGGGAGUGGCAGACGGGUGAGUAACGCGUGGGAACAUACCCCUCGGUUCGGAAUAACUCAGGGAAACUUGAGCUAAUACCGAAUACGGUCGAGAGGCGAAAGAUUUAUCGCCGAGGGAUUGGCCCGCGUCCGAUUAGCUAGUUGGUGAGGUAAUGGCUCACCAAGGCGACGAUCGGUAGCUGGUCUGAGAGGAUGAUCAGCCACAUUGGGACUGAGACACGGCCCAAACUCCUACGGGAGGCAGCAGUGGGGAAUAUUGGACAAUGGGCGAAAGCCUGAUCCAGCCAUGCCGCGUGAGUGAUGACGGCCUUAGGGUUGUAAAGCUCUUUCAUCAGGGACGAUAAUGACGGUA